CACAAUAGCAGUAGCAUUUUCUUGAUUCCAACCGAAGCAUCGCCCGGCGAGAGAUGGAUGGACAUGGACACCGGCCGGCCGCACGCUGGUGCGUUCGCUUGCCACGGACGGACGGGGGCCCAUCCGUCUAUUUGGUUAACGAUGUACCACACCACCUGACGGCGACGCCGCAACGGCAGGCCGGGCUCACCUACAACAGAAAGAGCCACACAC
rnacentral:lncRNA from 1 species